AACGUAGGAGACGAACGUUAUCCGGAGUUACUGGGCGUAAAGGGCGCGUAGGCGGCGUGACAAGUCACUUGUGAAAUCUCCGGGCUUAACCCGGAACUGCCAAGUGAUACUGUCGUGCUAGAGUGCGGAAGGGGCAAUCGGAAUUCUCGGUGUAGCGGUGAAAUGCGUAGAUAUCGAGAGGAACACCUGAGGUGAAGACGGGUUGCUGGGCCGACACUGACGCUGAGUGCGCGAAAGCCAGGGGAGCAAACAGG
rnacentral:rRNA from 1 species